AAUUCCCUACCGUGUUCGUGAUGGAGAAGAUGAUUUUGAGCCAACACCUUAAGCCCGGAAGUCCUAUAUCUGGUCAGGGAUGUUAGGCCCGCUCAAGUACGGGAAAACAGAACUGGCCAUGCGGACAUCCACCUUGUUGGACUGGGCUUAAAAUGAUUCUUCACACACGGCACAGAGUGGGGAAUUU
rnacentral:other from 1 species